GUAGGUGGCAAGCGUUGUCCGGGAAUUAUUGGGGCGUAAAGCGCGCGCAGGCGGUUCUUUAAGUCUGAUGUGAAAGCCCACGGGCUCAACCGUGGAGGGUCACUGGAAACUGGAGAACUUGAGUACAGAAGAGGAAAGCGGAAUUCCACGUGUAGCGGUGAAAUGCGUAGAGAUGUGGAGGAACACCAGUGGCGAAGGCGGCUUUCUGGUCUGUAACUGACGCUGAGGCGCGAAAGCGUGGGGAGCAAACAGGAUUAGAUACCCUGGUAGUCCACGCCGUAAACGAUGAGUGCUAAGUGUUAGGGGGUUUCCGCCCCUUAGUGCUGCAGCUAACGCAUUAAGCACUCCGCCUGGGGAGUACGGCCGCAAAGGCUGA
rnacentral:rRNA from 1 species